GACAGAGGUGCCGAGCGUUAGGCGGAAUCACUGGGCUUAAAGCGUGUGUAGGUGGAUGCCUAAGUACCUUGUGAAAUCCCACGGCUUAACCGUGGAACUGCUUGGUAUACUGGGUGUCUUGAGCCAGCUAGGGGCUACCGGAACAAAUGGUGGAGCGGUGAAAUGCGUAGAUAUCAUUUGGAACGCCAAUGGUGAAAACAGGUAGCUGGGGCUGUGCUGACACUGAGACACGAAAGCCAGGGGAGCGAACGGGA
rnacentral:rRNA from 1 species